rnacentral:misc_RNA from 1 species
AACUUUUAACAACGGAUCUCUUGGCUCUCGCAUCGAUGAAGAACGCAGCGAAAUGCGAUAAGUAAUGUGAAUUGCAGAAUUCAGUGAAUCAUCGAAUCUUUGAACGCACCUUGCGCCCUUUGGUAUUCCGAAGGGCAUGCCUGUUUGAGUGUCAUGAAAUCUCAACUACCAGGGUUUCCUGGUAAGCUUGGAUUUGGGUGUCUGCCUUGCACAGAGGCUCAUCUUAAAAGUGUUAGCGUGUCCGAUCAGUGAUAUUGUCUGGCGUAAUAAGUUUCGCUGGGCUAGCUGAGAAGCGUGCUUCUAAUCUGUCUUUUGGGACAACUUUUCUUGACUUCUGACCUCAAAUCAGGUAGGGCUACCCGCUGAACUUAAGCAUAUCAAUAAGCGGAGGAAAAGAAACUAACCAGGAUUCCCUUAGUAACGGCGAGUGAACCGGGA